GAUGAACGCUGGCGGCGUGCUUAACACAUGCAAGUCGAACGGUGAAGCAGGAGCUUGCUCCUGUGGAUCAGUGGCGAACGGGCGAGUAACACGUGAGCAAUCUGCCCUGGACUCUGGGAUAAGCGUUGGAAACGACGUCUAAUACCGGAUACGAGGCGUGGGGGCAUCCCCAACGCCUGGAAAGAACUUCGGUCCAGGAUGAGCUCGCGGCCUAUCAGGUAGUUGGUGAGGUAACGGCUCACCAAGCCGACGACGGGUAGCCGGCCUGAGAGGGUGACCGGCCGCACUGGGACUGAGACACGGCCCAGACUCCUACGGGAGGCAGCAGUGGGGAAUAUUGCACAAUGGGCGCAAGCCUGAUGCAGCAACGCCGCGUGAGGGACGACGGCCUUCGGGUUGUAAACCUCUUUUAGCAGGGAAGAAGCGAAAGUGACGGUACCUGCAGAAAAAGCACCGGCUAACUACGUGCCAGCCGCCGCGGUAAAAC
rnacentral:rRNA from 1 species